CUCAAAUUCUUGUACUGUCUGUUCAUUUUAUACCCUAACAUUUUUUUUUCAUAGAAUAAAUGCCACUGGAAAUGAUCCAACUUUCAACAUUAGAAUGAGAAUUUUAUCAGAAUGGAACAUAUGCUACUUCAGGAUGGUGGUACACAGACCACCCCCCACCCUCUGGACCUGCCCAUCCAAGGAAAGAUCCCUUUUUAUCUCUGGGGUCUCCAAUGUCUACCACACAACCAAGCUCUGUGAGAGGGGAGGUCAGAGAAACUUAGCACUCAUCAUGUCAUCAUGUCAGUUGGUCCAGCUGAAGAGUGACUUUGACCUGAUGGACCCUAAUGUCUACCUGUUGAGCUCUGGGUACAGCAGUCUCCAUGACCCAAACCUCAGGAAAUACCUCCACCGCAAAGACAUCCACCAACACCUCGUUCCCUGGGCUUCAUUACUAAGGAUGAGAAAGUUACUGAUCUUUCAGUCUUUUACAAUGUGCCCUGCUGAUUCCUUUUAUGAACUAUAUCAUAAUGUUUGGUGUGAUUGUAAGAGUUUUAGUGCACUUGGAUAGUACUGACACCACAACAUAACAUCCCUCAGGAAAAAUAAAGUUAUUCUAAAUAGAAGUUGUUGUCCUUAGACGCAUCCACGUCUCUGCAGGCUCCACCUGCAGGUCUGAACUGUUGUGGAAUACUAAAGGUUGUGCGUUGCUGCAGGAGGUCACCAAGGAGGUGAAGAGAGAGAUGAGGCUGGAACGAGGCUGGGUCACAAACUAGCAGGAGAAAGAGAAAAUGAAACGAGAGAGACAACAGAACAGACUGUGUCUCAAAAGGCCAGAAGAAAGAGAGGCAUUCCCCAACCAAGACAGAUUCACAAGACAAUCCGGAGAGCAUGGAAAACAUCCUGAUAUCAGUAUCAGAUCCUGACAACACCCAAGAAACUGAGGGCUCAGGGCUGGUUGACUCUGUCUCCUUCACCUUGGCAACCUGUGGCAGUCUGAUUGGACAAGCUGGCUCCCUUCAGUCCAUCACCCAGCAACUGUCUGAAAUACACAACAGCCAAGAACAAACUUCUGGAAGUGUCAACUAUUGCAGACACAACAGCCAAGACUGAACUUCUGACUAUUGAAGAUACAAUGGCUAAACUGGACAUAGAGAAAGAAGAGAUUAUUGCUGAUGUGAUACCCAAGACUGAAAGUAAGGAGUUGGCCACUGUUGCAGGUACAACAGCCAAGAUUGAAGUUCAAGAAGUGGAGACAACUGCAGAUGUGAUGGUCAAGACUGAAGUCAAGGAAGUAGUUGAGAUUACCAAGAGCGACACCCAAGAGGCAAAGGUAGAGGCUAGUUUUGAGACAGAGAUCAAGCUGACUGAGGGGUUGAACAUUGACACUAAAAUGGAAGAAGAAGCCAAUGCUGAGAUCAAUGCAGAUAAACAAGACAAUACUAUGUCUGAGAAUAACACCAGGAGCUAUGAGCUUAUUCUAACAGCUGGAGAGUCCAAAAUAGAAGUCAGAGAUUAAAAAAUAGAAUCCAAGAUAGAAUUUAGGGAUAAGAAUAUUGAUGCAAAUAAUGAAACUAUGGAUGCAAAGGAUUCUGUUGAGAAUGCAUAUGCUGAGAAGAGUGAACACAGCCAUGGCAGUCAUGGAAGCCCUGAGCUAUCUCAGUCAUCAUCAGACAAUGAUGAAGGUGGUCCUUCGAUGUUCCCCAUAAUCAGCAUGUUGAAGAGCGCUGCCCUGUCCUCAGACCAGGUUAAUGAGAUCAUAGACAAGGUGAUCGACGUCCUGACUGGGGAGGGCCACGAGGUCAUCUUUUCCGAGGACAGGCCAAGUGUCACCUCCAGCCCAGAGUACCAGCCAAAGAACCUGCAUAGGCCACAGUGUUCAGAGGAGAUUCACUGCUGAGUCUCAUUCCAAGCUCUUGCCAUGAAGCAAACUGAAAUGGGUGGAGCUGAUUAGUAUGCUGUGUAUAUUGAUGACCAAAUCCAUUAGCUCCCUGUCUCUGGAUAGAGCUUUUCAGGUUCCAGUUGAUGCAGUCUCAGAUACAAAGGAAAGGAAAGCUUCUGCUGUGAAGUUUAGUACGAAUACCAGAACACUGGUGCCAAUCCCCUCCUCGCCCCACCCUCACUAAGCCUGUCCAAGACGACAGCAGGAGGAAAAUCCGACCUCUCCAGACUGCCAAGAGGAAAGUAUCCCAAGGGUUAGAGGCAGACCUGUAGCCAGAAGGUCACUGGUUGAAAUCCCAGGCAGGGCAAUGAAAAUGUGGGUACUGAAAUUGCAAUUCAAGGGCUGGUGGUUUCAGAGAACAUUUUGAAUAUCCUUUGCAAAAUGCACUAAUAAAGUUAUAUUCUUUCUUCCCUUAUUCUCAACAAAAGAAAGGGUGGUCAACUCCAUGGUCUUGGACAUUUCCAGGACCACUAGUAGAAGCAGUGGGAUGGUGGCUCAGCUGGGUUGUCCAGUCAAGAGCAACAACAGUCUGUUCAGCGAGCUUCCAAGCCCCUCUGCAGCCACCUCAAACACAUCCCUGGGCGCCUCUGAGAUCAUUGCGAAUCUGGAUUCUCCAGACUUCAUGUCAUCCAGUAGCAACACCAGCCCAAGCCCCCCAAAGGAACAGUAGUGACAACAGUCAACUAAUGGAACUGCAGAAACUGCGUUUUCUAAAUAUCUAGGC
rnacentral:lncRNA from 1 species